CAAGCAUCUUGCUGUUGAUGGCUGUGGGAUGUGGGAUGCGAAUCCGACAGUUAGUCAGUUGUAUGGCACGAUCAGCCUCUGUUCUGUCUGUUGUUUGUCGCAGAAUUUUCGUUUUCUGUCGCUGAAGCUACUGCUGCUGCUGUUGCUGUAGUCUGCUUGAAUGUGCGUGCCUGUGCUGUGUUUUUCUUUUACCAAGGCAAAAACGCGUUGCGAUUCAAUUUAAACCAACGAAUAAUUGUCACAUACCGUACACCCAUACAUGUGUGUAUGUGUGGACAUGUGUAUGUAGUGUACUUAUAUAUUUGUUUCCCGUUGUAUCCAUAUACAGUACAUAUCAAAUGUGUGUAUCUACAUGUAUGGAUAUGCACAUAACAACACAUACCGUGCUUGUCAAUAAGAAACGGAUAUGUCAACAAAUUGAAAAACAAAAUCAACAACAUAUGUAUUAAAUAUGUAUGCCAAUCAAUCAUUUCUCAAUUAAAGCUGCUGAAUAUUUAACUCGGAUGGAAUAUAGAGUGAGUGUAAAACAAUUGAAGCUCCUAAUUUUUUAAAUUGAUAAAAUAUUAAGUGAAGUGAGGAUUUUAUCUAACGAUUUGUUGCAGAAGAAACUACCUUAUUGAUUUGCAUUUUAUUCGAUCGUCUUGCUCGCGGCAUUGCUGACUGUAAAAUAAAUGCACACAACAGUUCUGUUAACAUCAUGGCUAACAUUGACGUCGCAUUUGAAUUGACUAAAGAUCAAAGAACUAGAAAUGACCAAUUUUUGAAUUUUCAGUCGAUCCUAUAAUUAUUGUGGAAGACUCCAAGUCGAAGUUUUAUUUAACAAAUUUGUUUCACAAUAGUUUUGAAAAUUUUCCUUCGAAUAACACCUACUGCUAUUGCCUCAAAACCGAGCAACAGCCAAUCAAAAUUAAAUGGCGAUGCCGUAUGCUUAUCGCACGGUAUGUGACUUUGGCUAUAAUUUUAAUGAUGUUUAUCUUGGCAUCUGCACAGAAUGAAAAUAUAGAGACUAUCGUUGCUAAUUCCAAUGUCUUUAAUGGAAGUAAUUGGAACUCAAAUAAAAAUCAAUUCCAUUUUGAUACAGAUACGCAAAAUGAUAGUGACGCAUUUACUAAUUCAAAUGCAAAUAAUAAUCAAAAUUAUAACAGUAACAAUGGAAAAAUGGCAUCAGGGCCCGGUACUCAGGGUGUCACUGUAAGCCGCAAUACUUUGAUUAAUGGUGAUACUAUUUUGCAGCGGCAAUUGAGAGAGAAAACUAAACAAGAUAGCUUACAGUCAAUUAAAAUGCAUAUCUUAAUGCGUUUGAAUUU